rnacentral:rRNA from 1 species
AGAGUUUGAUCAUGGCUCAGAACGAACGCUGGCGGCAGGCCUAACACAUGCAAGUCGAACGCUGUAGCAAUACAGAGUGGCAGACGGGUGAGUAACGCGUGGGAACGUGCCUUUCGGUUCGGAAUAACUCAGGGAAACUUGAGCUAAUACCGGAUACGCCCUUUGGGGGAAAGAUUUAUUGCCGAAAGAUCGGCCCGCGUCCGAUUAGCUAGUUGGUGUGGUAAUGGCGCACCAAGGCGACGACCGGUAGCUGGUCUGAGAGGAUGAUCAGCCACACUGGGACUGAGACACGGCCCAGACUCCUACGGGAGGCAGCAGUGGGGAAUAUUGGACAAUGGGCGCAAGCCUGAUCCAGCCAUGCCGCGUGAGUGAUGAAGGCCCUAGGGUUGUAAAGCUCUUUCGCCAGGGACGAUAAUGACGGUACC